rnacentral:snoRNA from 1 species
UUGCAUGAUGAACCCCAGAUAGGGACAGCUUAUACCUAACGGUAUUUGAUGAGAACCCUGGGCGAUUAUUUUAGUAGAUGCUUCGACCUGUCUGAUA